rnacentral:lncRNA from 1 species
AUCAUAGCCAAGGUCCUGGGAAGGGAGCCAGCAUUCAGGGAUGGGUCACAAGAAGGUCAUGGCUGCUGGUGGUCCUUAACGCAUUUACCUUCCCCACUGCAGCCCCGGAAAGCCAGCGCCACAUGCAGUUCGGCCACAGCAGCAGCCUCCAGUGGCCUGGAGGAGUGGACUAGCCGGUCCCCGCGGCAGCGGAGUUCAGCCUCGUCACCUGAGCACCCUGAGCUGCAUGCUGAAUUGGGCAUGAAGCCCCCUUCCCCAGGCACUGUUUUAGCUCUUGCCAAACCUCCUUCGCCCUGUGCGCCAGGUCAGUGACUUGCCCACAGGGAAUGUGCUGGGAGUUAGGAGGCACUGCCUGGGUCCUGGGUCCUGGAUCCUGGGUCCCUACCUUUGACUGUCCGUCUGCUUCAGGUACAAGCAGUCAGUUCUCGGCAGGGGCCGACCGGGCAACUUCCCCCCUUGUGUCCCUCUACCCUGCUUUGGAGUGCCGGGCCCUCAUUCAGCAGAUGUCCCCCUCUGCCUUUGGUCUGAAUGACUGGGAUGAUGAUGAGAUCCUAGCGUCGGUGCUGGCAGUGUCCCAACAGGAAUACCUAGACAGUAUGAAGAAAAACAAAGUGCACAGAGACCCGCCCCCAGACAAGAGUUGAUGGAGACCCAGGGAUUGGACACCAUCUCCCAACCCCAGGGACUCGGGCAAGGGUGCCGAAGAUAGACAAGAGGCACACAGAGACAGACCAACUGGCAGCCAGGCAGCCCCAGCCCCAGAGGAGAGAGACAUUCAGACAGAGGAAAGUCUCCCUGCCCCUCAUUCCUUCCAAGAUGAGAAAAACUUGCCACCCCCCCCCCCGACACUGAUGCCAGGGAGGUGGGAGGAAGAAGUGGGAAAUUUCCCUUCCCAGUACCCCCAAGAACAUCUGAGCCUUCAAUGUUGAAUUUUUUCUUUAUUAAAAUUACUUUUAUCUUAUAAAAUCAACUAAUCAAAAAUGAUAUAGACGACAGCACUGGCUCUGUGAAGGUGGCAUCCUUCUGGGCAGGCAGGCCAUGGGGCAUGGAGGAGGGCGCAAAGAUAUGGGUUGCUGUCUUCUGGCCUCCAGCUGCAUGGAGGCCGGCCCAGGGUCUAGGGUGUGCACUGGGCAAGGGCAGGGCGGCAGGUGUCAGGCCGGCUUGGACAAUGAAACCCUGACCUUGCUGCAUUCCUUUUGCUUCCACCACCACUAGCCUCUUUGGAAUCUUGGGGUGGGGGUCAUCUUUGGGGAUUAUGGCUGCCACCCGGGAUUUGAGUGUAGGGAGUGUGGGAGCAGCCUUGGCAGAUGGGGCACCCGUGCCCUGCAGGUGUUGACAAGAUCCACCAUCUGUAAUGUC